rnacentral:lncRNA from 1 species
AUGCAGGGAGAGCCGCGGCAACCAGGCGGACAACAGUGGGCCCGAGCCCCCUCCUGGAGGCCUCGGCACUCUAGGCAGCUCCCCCUCCGUGGGCCUCGCCUCCCUGCCCGCAGUGCGGGACGCGCGUGUGCCCUGCCAGUGGGGGUGACGGAGCUUCCGCGCAGCCGAGGAAGCACCUACGCCACGCGUACAAGUGCACACCGGCAGUCGGGGACCCGCAGCUGGCCCGCGCCUGGCCCGGGGCCCUCUGCGACCUCGCCGCGGCCGCCUGCUCUCCUCUGUCGGUGUGGUCUGCUCUCCCAGCCACGCAGAGUUCCCGAGGGGCCUCAGCGCAGGGCUCUGGGGACUCCAGCUCGGGUAACUAGGACAGCGCCUGGGCUGUGCUGUCGCCGGGCGCUGCUCCUGCUCACCCCUGUUGCUGCUCAUCUCCUCUGUCUGCUUCCUCAGGGAAACCGCGGCCCAGGGACACACGCGCAGGGAGAAGCACAGUACUGUGGAGCUCAGGACUCCCUGCGGCUUCGCAGGGAGGAGGGCACCGCGGCCUUCACUCCAGGGGACACCGGACGGACAGGACAGCCGGAAACUAGAGGAAGUGGACGCCCAGAAUCACGCACGGCGGCCAGAACGAAAACGCCCUCCAAGCCCAAUGCACGCACUUACAGCACCGCAGCAAGAAACAAUGAAAACAUUACCGUGGAAAGAAGAAAUCCCAUUAGCAAUGGCAAAAGGGUACUGAUUUUGUAAUUGAGACUACAGGUUGAAAACUAUAUGAAGAUGUACCCUGGCGAGGCAGCAGCACACCUGUCAUCCCGCAGUCUGGCGAGCUAAGAGGGGAUAAAGUUUGGGCCCACCCUGGGCAACUCAGUGACGUGGCAAGACCCUGUCUCAAAGUAAAAUGUGAAAAAGGCUGGGAAUGUGGCUCAAUGCAAAGACCAUGGGUUCAACAGCCAGUACCACACAUACCCCCAUAUAUAUAUAUAUACACACACACACACACACACACACACACACACACCACGCACACACACACACACACACACACACACACACACACACACACAAAGUGAAAAGUAAUUGCAAGUGAAUUAACAGAGAACAAAAAUCACCAAAAGCUGGUGGGAAGACGGUAAGGACAUCUGUCCUUCAGGGGAAGAGAAAUAACACUGUAUUCAUGAGAGGACAUUACUGCUAUCACUGUAGUUUGUACUUCAGUGCUCUGAAGUUUAAUUAAUUUUAUUGGUACACUUUUUUUUUGGUAGUGCUGCAGACUGAACUUAGGGCCUUGCAGAUGCUAGGUAAGGGAUCCAUCACUAAGCUACGUCCCCAACCCUACAGGUAGUCAAGUUUAAAUGAUUCAAAAUAUCUAAGGCGCUCAGAAAGGACUCAGCAGCAAUCACCACUGUUGUUCUAUUUUUGUGACAACCACCUUGAGAUAAAUCAUUGGUAGACGUGUAGCAAAACUAUCCAAAUGGAAAAAUAAUGUCUUACUGGCUCCAAAAAUAUAAAUUAGGGGGAGAAAUAAAAUCACAGCACAACUUUGAACUGGCAGAGAAUGACCUCUAACCUUUCAGCACGGCUAGUGUCCCUGGGCAGCGCGUCGUGUCCUCACGCAGCAUUUCUGGAACGUGAACCCUCAAAACCCCGACUAGGUGGGAGAACAGACGCCAGCAGACGGACCGGGACUUCUGGACAUCUGAAGGCCGGCUGAGUCUCACAGUCAGAGCUGAUCAUGUCCUCCCCUCCCCGUCUGGUGCACUAGAGCUUCUGGAAAGCUGGCAGUGCCAGAGGGAGCCCUGUGGUGCCCCACAGCUAGCGAACGCGUGAGCUUCCUUCCCCUCCUACCAGCCACGGUGCAGGCACUGCUCUGUAGAUCCCCAGACUGCCCUGUGGAAGCCUCAUCUCACUCCCGGUGGGAAAAAUUCCCCUCUGCAUCCUUCCUUCCUGAGAAAGUGACUCCAUCAAAACCAGGAAUAAACCGAGAAUUUCCAAGUUUUGUUUUGAAGAAAAUUAACAGUAAGUUCACCACAUUAGAAUUCAGUGAUACAAAGAAAAAGAGCCUUCAGGAAAACCACACUGGUGUUUUUUUAAGAAUGGGAAAAAUUAAUUGAGAGAAAGAGAGCUUCUGUCCAAGAGAGACAGAAGCGGGACUGGAAAGAGGGUUGUCUCCAUACUGGUAUGUUUAACAAUAUUAAAUUUGAAUGUAUAUUUAAUUGGCAAUUACUAUAUAAGGUUUAGGUUACUAAAAAUUAGCAAUUCUACA